UGUGAGCUACAUAUAUAUUAGCUACAGUUAUUGGGAAAUAGAUAUUGGAGUAUUGGAAAGGCUUCUUCGCAGUAGGGUUUACUCACAUGGGAGGCUGAUCCAGAACAUUAAGAUGCACGGUGAAUUGGUAGUUUGCAUUGAGAACUGGCUUACUAAUAGAAGAUAGUAGGUAGUGAUGAAAUGGUGUUAUUUUGGCACGAGGUCUGUGACCAGUGGAGUUCUACAGGGAUCUGUGUUGGCAAUUCUAUUGUCUGUGAUAUAUAUAUAUAUAUAUAUAAAUAAUUUGGUUGUAAAUGUA